UCAAGCAAUAAGGGCACAGGGCGGAUGCCUUGGCACUAAGAGCCGAUGAAAGACGUGAUAAGCUGCGAUAAGCUUCGGGGAGGAGCAAAUAUCCAUUGAUCCGGAGAUGUCUGAAUGGGGAAACCCACAUGAGCAAACCUCAUGUAUCCUACAGCCAAUACAUAACUGUAGGAAGGGAACCCGGGGAACUGAAACAUCUAAGUACCCGGAGGAAAAGAAAGAAAACUCGAUUCCGUAAGUAGCGGCGAGCGAACGCGGAGGAGCCUAAACCGGAAUGCGUGCAUUCCGGGGUUACGGACUGCAUUUAAGAUUCUUUGAAGCUAACAGAACGGUUUUGGGAAAGCCGGCCGGAGAGGGUGAAAGCCCCGUACGUGAAAGCUGAUGAGACUGAGCAGGAUCCAGAGUACCACGAGACACGUGGAACCUUGUGGGAAAUCAGGGGGACCACCCCCUAAGGCUAAAUACUACUUAGUGACCGAUAGCGCAUAGUACUGUGAAGGAAAGGUGAAAAGGACCCCGGGAGGGGAGUGAAAGAGAACCUGAAACCCUGUGUUUACAAGCUGUGGAACAUCAUUAUUCGAUGAACCGCGUACUUUUUGUAGAACGGUCCGGCGAGUUACGCUUACUGGCAAGGUUAAGCACUGAAGGUGCGGAGCCGGAGGGAAACCAAGUCUGAAUAGGGCGAUGAGUCAGUAGGAGUAGACCCGAAACCGGGUGAUCUAUCCAUGUCCAGGUUGAAGCUGCCGUAAGAGGUAGUGGAGGACCGAACCCACAUCCGUUGAAAAGGGUGGGGAUGAGGUGUGGAUAGGGGAGAAAUUCCAAUCGAACCCGGAGAUAGCUGGUUCUCCUCGAAAUAGCUUUAGGGCUAGCCUCGAUACAGAUUUGCGGAGGUAGAGCACUGAAUUUCCUAGGGGGCGUCAAAGCCUACCGAAGAAUAUCAAACUCCGAAUGCCGCGUAAUCGAUUAUCGGGAGUCAGACUGCACGAGAUAAGUUGGGCGGUCAAAAGGGAAAGAGCCCAGACCUUCAGUUAAGGUCCCCAAGUGCGCGUUAAGUGGAAAAGGAUGUGGGAUUUCGAAGACAACCAGGAUGUUGGCUCAGAAGCAGCCAUCCAUUCAAAGAGUGCGUAAUAGCUCACUGGUCGAGAGGUCCUGCGCCGAAAAUGUCCGGGGCUGAAACGCGCCACCGAAACUAAGGAACCGAAAGGUUGGUAGAGGAGCAUUGCAUGCGGGAAGAAGCAGUACCGAAAGGAGCUGUGGACUGCAUGGAAGAGAGAAUGCCGGAAUGAGUAGCGAGAUAGAGGUGGGAAUCCUCUAGGCCGAAUAUCCAAGGUUUCCAGAGUAAAGCUGAUCUGCUCUGGGUAAGUCGGGGCCUAAGGCGAGGACGAGAGUCGUAGCCGAUGGACAACAGGUGGAGAUUCCUGUACUGCGGUAUGACAGAACUGUGGGGACACGUAAGGAAAGCGGAAGCCGGGAAUGGAAAGCCCGGUGCAAGCGGGGUACCAGUCACUUUGGCAAAUCCGGGUGGCAAUGGGAAGCCGUGAUGCGGAGCGAAAUAAAGUAGCGAAGUCCGUGAGCCAUGCGUCAAGAAAAGCCGCUAUUGUUUAUACCGUACCCGUACCGUAAACCGACACAGGUGGAUGAGGAGAGAAUCCUAAGGCCGGCGGAAGAAGCAUUGUCAAGGAACUCGGCAAAAUGGCCCCGUAACUUAGGGAUAAGGGGUGCCUGGGAAACCAGGCCGCAGAGAAUAGGCUCAAGCAACUGUUUAGCAAAAACACAGGUCUAUGCGAAACCGAAAGGUGAGGUAUAUGGGCUGACGCCUGCCCGGUGCUGGAAGGUUAAGAGGAGAGGUUAGCGCAAGCGAAGCUUUGAAUUUAAGCCCCAGUAAACGGCGGCCGUAACUAUAACGGUCCUAAGGUAGCGAAAUUCCUUGUCGGGUAAGUUCCGACCC
rnacentral:rRNA from 1 species